rnacentral:tRNA from 1 species
AUUUGUUUUAGUAGCUUAUUAAGAGUAUAAUAUUGAAGAUAUUAAGGAAGUAUUUACUUUAAAAUAU